UCAGACAUAAUUUGGUUGUAUCCUCGACAAAGCAGCUCACAAAUACUCCCAAGAUGGAUACUCCAUGCUCUACUUUCCAGCAAAAUAAUUCUUGAGAUCGCCGUCUGAGUUUGGAAUCAGUUACCCCACUCUCUUCACACGAGCUUGUACAUCAGUAACCAGGAUUUUGACGAUUGUUUGUUUCUCCUCAGGAGUGUAAAGACACCUGCUGUGAGGCUGCAACAUGUAAACUCAAACCUGGGGCACAAUGCUCAUCCACUGAGCUAUGCUGUGAAGACUGUAAGUGCAUUUUUUCAAACUGUUAACUUUAAACAUACUUGGAGGAAAAUGGAGGAGGCAACUCCUGGAUCGGAGGUCAGUGCAGGGAGGCAAAUGCCAGACGUGAGUCUGUCGUGGGGAGGUGAGGCCCAGGCUGGAGACUGAUGUGGGGAGGUGAGGCCCAGACCGGAGGCUGUCACUGGGAGGUGAGGCCCAGACCGGAGGCUGUAACAGGGAGGUGAGGCCCAGACCGGAGAUUGUAACAGGGAAUUGAGGCCCAGACCGGAGGCUGUCGCGUGGAGGUGAGGCCCAGACCGGAGGCUGUCGCGUGGAGGUGAGGCCCAGAACGGAGGCUGUCACGGGGAGGUGAGGCCCAGACCGGAGGCUGUCGCAGGGAGGUGAGGCCCAGACCGGAGGCUGUCGCGGGGAGGUGAGGCCCAGACCGGAGGCUGUCGUGGGGAGGUGAGGCCCAGACUGGAGGCUGUCAUGGGCAGGCAAGGCCCUUGCAGACUGGAAACUGGAGCCGUGGGGAAGAGUGGCCUGAAGUUUUGAAGCCCAGUGUCAUCUGGAGACUUGGCCCAGUGCGGUCUGGAAGUGAGGUACUGGCAUGGACUGGGAUGAAAGGUGACCCUUCGCCAGAACAGAAACUAACUGGGAAAUGAUGGUAUUUACAGUGAUGAUGGGAGCUGGGGAAAGGACUGAGAUAAAUAGAUGGAGAUAGUGCCCAGACUUAGAGAGAGAAAGCAGAACUCAUACUGAAGAAUCUAUACCUAGAUACCUGGAACAUGUCCCUAGACCUGCACUCAUCCCUGGAACAUCUGGACAACAAGGACACCCACAUCUGGCUCCUGGUCAUUGAAGGCAGAGCUGUAGUCAACAUCACUUCCCCCUCCA